AAGCUGUGAUGAAAAUCUUCUGUGCUAUAGCCGGCCUCUCACGAGUGGUCGUCGGUGAUGGCUACACAACCCUCUAAGAAGUUCUGAGCUU